rnacentral:rRNA from 1 species
GUAGGGAAUCUUCGGCAAUGGACGAAAGUCUGACCGAGCAACGCCGCGUGAGUGAAGAAGGUUUUCGGAUCGUAAAACUCUGUUGUUAGAGAAGAACAAGGACGUUAGUAACUGAACGUCCCCUGACGGUAUCUAACCAGAAAGCCACGGCUAACUACGUGCCAGCAGCCGCGGUAAUACGUAGGUGGCAAGCGUUGUCCGGAUUUAUUGGGCGUAAAGCGAGCGCAGGCGGUUUCUUAAGUCUGAUGUGAAAGCCCCCGGCUCAACCGGGGAGGGUCAUUGGAAACUGGGAGACUUGAGUGCAGAAGAGGAGAGUGGAAUUCCAUGUGUAGCGGUGAAAUGCGUAGAUAUAUGGAGGAACACCAGUGGCGAAGGCGGCUCUCUGGUCUGUAACUGACGCUGAGGCUCGAAAGCGUGGGGAGCAAACAGG